rnacentral:rRNA from 1 species
UACGAAGGGGGCUAGCGUUGCUCGGAAUCACUGGGCGUAAAGCGCACGUAGGCGGAUUGCUAAGUCAGGGUGAAAUCCUGGAGCUCAACUCCAGAACUGCCCUUGAUACUGGCGGUCUCGAGUCCGGGAGAGGUGAGUGGAACUGCGAGUGUAGAGGUGAAAUUCGUAGAUAUUCGCAAGAACACCAGUGGCGAAGGCGGCUCACUGGCCCGGUACUGACGCUGAGGUGCGAAAGCGUGGGGAGCAAACAGG